rnacentral:rRNA from 1 species
GACGAACGCUGGCGGCGUGCUUAACACAUGCAAGUCGAACGGAAAGGCCCAGCUUGCUGGGUGCUCGAGUGGCGAACGGGUGAGUAACACGUGGGUGAUCUGCCCCUAACUUCGGGAUAAGCUUGGGAAACUGGGUCUAAUACCGGAUAGGACAAUCGUUUAGUGUCGGUUGUGGAAAGUUUUUUCGGUUAGGGAUGAGCCCGCGGCCUAUCAGCUUGUUGGUGGGGUAAUGGCCUACCAAGGCGUCGACGGGUAGCCGGCCUGAGAGGGUGGACGGCCACAUUGGGACUGAGAUACGGCCCAGACUCCUACGGGAGGCAGCAGUGGGGAAUAUUGCACAAUGGGCGCAAGCCUGAUGCAGCGACGCCGCGUGGGGGAUGACGGCCUUCGGGUUGUAAACCUCUUUCGACAGGGACGAAGCUUUGGUGACGGUACCUGUAUAAGAGGCACCGGCUAACUACGUG